CCUCCUUUUUUCCUCAUUAAGGAAUAUUGGUCAAUGGACGCAAGUCUGAACCAGCCAUGCCGCGUGGAGGAUGAAGGUCCUCUGGAUUGUAAACUUCUUUUAUUUGGGAAGAAACUCCCGAUUUCCAUCGGGAUUGACGGUACCAGAUGAAUAAGCACCGGCUAACUCCGUGCCAGCAGCCGCGGUAAUACGGAGGGUGCAGGCGUUAUCCGGAUUAACUGGGUUUAAGGGGUGCAUGUAUGUCAGGGGAGAAAUCUCCGGGCUUAACCCGGAAACUGCCAUUGAUACUAUUUGUCUUGAAUACUCUGGAGGUGAGCGGAAUAUGUCAUGUAGCGGUGAAAUGCUUAGAUAUGACAUAGAACACCCAUUGCGAAGGCAGCUCACUACGGAAAUAUUGACGCUGAGGCACGAAAGCGUGGGGAUCAAACAGGAUUAGAUACCCUGGUAGUC
rnacentral:rRNA from 1 species